GAUAUGGUGUAUGUGUAUCUACAUUGCUUGCCCCCUUUUGUUGAACCACGUGUGUCUGAUUACAUACCUCACAUAAUUGACAUGAUCAAGCAGAUUCUUGAUAAUGGAUGUGCAUACGCGAUUGAAGGAGACGUCUACUUCUCAGUGGAUAGAUUUCCUGAGUAUGGAAAAUUAUCUGGGAGUAAAUUAGAAGAUAAUCGGGCUGGUGAGCGAGUGGCUGUUGACUCGAGAAAGAAUAAUCCUGCAGAUUUUGCAUUGUGGAAGGUCAUAGAUCUGUACCAUCCAAUGGCUUGCGGCUUUUCUUGUUGGGGAUUUACUAUCAAUCUCCAAUCAAUUAAUCUGGUGUACAGCUUGAGAGUGCUUCUGCGCAUAUUUUUUUACAUUUAUCAGACCUUAUAUGAUUGUGAAACUGUCAUCGGCCUGCACAAGGUAGCUUCUGAUAAGGAUUCUGUCCCAACUGAAAUUUUAAAUUGCAUAAAUACGUUCCACUAUGUGUCUGUCUCCUCAAUGUCAGAUGAUCUCCACACGCCUGUUUUAUUGGCUGCUUUGUCUGAUCCAUUAAAAAUCAUCAACGACAUGCUACAUACCCGAAAGGGAAAGAAACAGACUAAGCGAGUAGAAUCACUCGCUGUUCUUGAAAAAACUAUUGGGAAUGCAUUAUCUAUCUUGGGGUUGAUGCCGACAACUUACUUUGAGGAACUGUUAUAUUAGCAAUCUGCACAAAUACAAUAGAGAAAGGAGUCACAUCUAUCGGAUCGGAGAGGCUAGUUUUUAUCGGCUCCAAGGACGGGAUAUCUCCGGAUGAAGUUACAGCAAGUGCUUUCCCAUUUAGAAGCACUGUUUGGCUAUAAUCAAUGUCAGGAUUUUGAUCUAGUGACUGGAAGAAAAAAAUGCAUACCGCCUCCGCCUUACCAGAAACUAAAUACAAAUGCAUUUGUAACAAGAUUACGGCCGCUGUUGUAAGCCCCUCCUGCCUCGCCUACCCAGGCAACGGCUUGCGUCCCUGAACUCUUCAAAACUUCUUGAAGGCUGCUAAAUGUCCCGGAGCCAAUGUCGAGGUAGGAAGGAUCUAAUAUCUUGUUAACCAGGUGAUUAUCGACACCUAUAAGUAAAGCAGUUCAAAAGCGUUCUUCUUUGUUAACUAUGUUAACGGAAAAGAUUAAACGAGGGUGUAAUUACAAUUUUUUUACCUGGACCGAGAUUAUAAAUGUGCUGAGUGACUGCUUGAAGAGAUUUAGGCGCCUUGUCUAUGAAUUCUGUGAACCAUUUUGCAUCAAAGAAACCUCCCGGUGCAAUUAUCAAUGGCUUAUUUUUGAAACCUUUGUAAAUGUUUUCGACUAUGUUCUGAAAAGUGAUUAUAUCUAAUGCAUAUUGGUCUGCCGCAA